rnacentral:rRNA from 1 species
AUGGCCUUUACUGGCGAAAGGAAGAACACUGCAGUUAGGGGACACCGAUCGAGUUCCAGCUUUCCAGGCACUAGCGAAACCGCCCAUGCUGAGUAUGCCGAUAAAUGUCCAAAUGGAGAGGAACAGAACAAAUCCCCAUAUCCAGCAACGACGAUUGGCAUGGCCGGACCAGGAAAUCCAGAAGGAAAUGAAGACUUCUCCGAUUCCAAAGGCGAAAAUGGCAACGAAGGUGAUGUAGUAGGCAAGCUUGUUGUGGCCAAAGAUUACUCCACUGGCCGGCUUGUAGAGCAUCGUGCGCACGUCCAUAACCAGGGUGAGGAAUCCCAUUGUCCCCAGCACACGUGUGAUCAGCUGCAUUGCACGCUCAUGAGCGGGCAUGUUUGCACAUGCCUGGUCUAUGUUGUUCUCCAACUCACCGUCGGUGCCACCCUAUACAACAGAAAUAACCACACAUAUCAUCAACAUCUCAGCCAUGUAAUAUAG